rnacentral:rRNA from 1 species
UACGUAGGGGGCAAGCGUUGUCCGGAAUCAUUGGGCGUAAAGAGCGUGUAGGCGGCUCGGUAAGUCCGCUCUGAAAGCCCGGGGCUCAACCCCGGGAGGCGGGCGGAUACUGUCGGGCUAGAGUCCGGAAGAGGCGAGUGGAAUUCCUGGUGUAGCGGUGAAAUGCGCAGAUAUCAGGAGGAACACCGGUGGCGAAGGCGGGUCUCUGGGCCGUUACUGACGCUGAGGAGCGAAAGCGUGGGGAGCGAACAGG